rnacentral:misc_RNA from 1 species
UCCGGCUUAACGCCGGCAGUCCCCCCAGAGUCCCCGGCCGAACCGCUGGCAACUGGGAGCGAGGGUUGCGCUCGUUGCGGGACUUAACCCAACAUCUCACGACACGAGCUGACGACAGCCAUGCAGCACCUGUGCAGGGCCCCGAAGGACACCGUAUCUCUACGGCUUUUCCCUGCAUGUCAAGCCCAGGUAAGGUUUUUCGCGUUGCAUCGAAUUAAACCACAUGCUCCACCGCUUGUGCGGGCCCCCGUCAAUUCCUUCGAGUUUUAACCUUGCGGCCGUACUCCCCAGGCGGGAUGCUUAAUGCGUUAGCUGCGCCACCAACAAGCAUGCUUGCUGACGGCUAGCAUCCAUCGUUUACAGCGUGGACUAC